GGAGGGAUGGCCGAGUGGUUUAAGGCAGCGGUCUUGAAAACCGCCGUGGGUGGAAGCUCACCGUGGGUUCGAAUCCCACUCUCUCCGCCA
rnacentral:tRNA from 1 species